AAGUCGUAACAAGGUCUCCGUAGGUGAACCUGCGGAGGGAUCAUUAACACGAAUACACUUGUUUAGUAAAAUAAAUAAGUCGUUUCAAAAACCAACCAAACUCGUGAACUCGAAUUCUUUAUUGAAUUCAUUCGCCCCAUUUUAUAUUACGUUAACAAAGGUUGUAUCAUCGAUUGCGUGUUUAUACCUAUCAAUAUAUGUGAUGGCAUAAUUUAUUAUGCUUAUUGAUAAUCAUAAACUGAUGAUGCUUCUUCGUUUUAUAAAUGGACCCUUUCUUUUCGCAUCACGAAAUAAACAUAACCAACCUAUUUCACCCUAACCAUAUAAACAUUGACUGAUUUUUUUGUAAUUGAUUCAUUUCAAUAACAAAUAAACUCGAUAUCAUCGAAAACUAAAAGCACAACUCUUAGCAACGGAUAUCUUGGUUCUC
rnacentral:misc_RNA from 1 species